rnacentral:snRNA from 1 species
UACCUUGCGCAAUGGUAAUAUCGUAACCAAUGAAGGCCUCCUGAGGUGCGAUUAUUGCUAGUUGAGAAAAAAAACUUAAAAAAAUUAACUGUAAAAUUUAUUUAGUAAA